AGUGAACGCUGGCGGUAGGCCUAACACAUGCAAGUCGAACGGCAGCACAGUAAGAGCUUGCUCGUACGGGUGGCGAGUGGCGGACGGGUGAGGAAUACAUCGGAAUCUACUUUUUCGUGGGGGAUAACGUAGGGAAACUUACGCUAAUACCGCAUACGACCUACGGGUGAAAGCAGGGGAUCGUCGGACCUUGCGCGAUUGAAUGAGCCGAUGUCGGAUUAGCUAGUUGGCGGGGUAAAGGCCCACCAAGGCGACGAUCCGUAGCUGGUCUGAGAGGAUGAUCAGCCACACUGGAACUGAGACACGGUCCAGACUCCUACGGGAGGCAGCAGUGGGGAAUAUUGGAGCAUGGGCGCAAGCCUGAUCCAGCCAUACCGCGUGGGUGAAGAAGGCCUUCGGGUUGUAAAGCCCUUUUGUUGGGAAAGAAAAGCAGCAGGUUAAUACCCCGCUGUUCUGACGGUACCCAAAGAAUAAGCACCGGCUAACUUCGUG
rnacentral:rRNA from 1 species